rnacentral:rRNA from 1 species
UGGGGAAUAUUGCACAAUGGGCGAAAGCCUGAUGCAGCAACGCCGCGUGAGUGAUGAAGGCCUUCGGGUUGUAAAGCUCUGUCUUUUGGGACGAUAAUGACGGUACCAAAGGAGGAAGCCACGGCUAACUACGUGCCAGCAGCCGCGGUAAUACGUAGGUGGCAAGCGUUGUCCGGAUUUACUGGGCGUAAAGGAUGCGUAGGCGGAUUUUUAAGUGAGAUGUGAAAUACCCGGGCUUAACUUGGGUGCUGCAUUUCAAACUGGGAAUCUAGAGUGCGGGAGAGGAGAAUGGAAUUCCUAGUGUAGCGGUGAAAUGCGUAGAGAUUAGGAAGAACACCAGUGGCGAAGGCGAUUCUCUGGACCGUAACUGACGCUGAGGCAUGAAAGCGUGGGUAGCAAACAGGAUUAGAUACCCUGGUAGUCCACGCCGUAAACGAUGAGUACUAGGUGUAGGAGGUAUCGACCCCUUCUGUGCCGCAGUUAACACAAUCAAGUACUCCGCCUGGGAAGUACGAUCGCAAGAUUAAAACUUAAAGGAAUUGACGGGGUCAUAGC